UUAAUAAUCAGUGAUUUGUUGGACCGUCUCGUCUGGCUCUGGAGACAUAGCUGAUCCUCACAGGGGGGUCUGUACUUGGCUCUAUUGGCAGGACUGGUCUCGGGCAGAUAUAAGAAGUGCGCUGUGAUGAAAUUAACCUAAAAAGAGCUGGAAUUACCGUCAGAUUGCUGGUGGUGAGAAGGGUUUUUCUGAGCACACAUCCCGUUCUGUAGCAUUCAUUAGAAAUGCUUAGUAAGUUUAUAAUCGUCCAUUUAAAUGGUACAUUUUCUGAAAAUGCAAUAGUGGGGCAUGCCAUCUAGAUUGUCUUACACUUUGUUUUGUUCUCUUCAGGUCUGAUCACUUGGGGUUUCUGAUCUUCCGGGUCCGCCUGUUUAGGAUUGUGGAGGAUGAAAGCCUGGCAGUAGUGGAUGUCGGUCCAGCGAGAGGAGAUGGGCAGUCAUGCCAUGUCAGGAAAUUCAUAAUGAACACUUGAAUGCCGAGCUGCACCAUUCCUGGUUUUAAGGAACUUGCAUAAGGAACACUUGAAUGCCGAGCUGCACCGUUCCUGGCUUUAAGGAACUUCCGUAAUGAACACUUGAAUGCCAAGACGCAGCGUUCCUGGUUUGAAGGUCUGAUCACUUGGGGUUUCUGAUCUUCCAGAUCCACCUGUUUAGGAUUGUGGAGGAUGAAAGCCUGGCAGUAGUGGAUGUCGGUCCUGCGAGAGGAGCAGUCAUGCCAUGUCAGGAAAUUCAUAAUGAACACUUGAAUGCCGAGCCGCACCAUUCCUGGUUUUAAGGAACUUGCAUAAGGAACACUUGAAUGCCGAGCCACACCAUUCCUGGUUUUAAGGAACUUCCGUAAUGAACACUUGAAUGCCAAGACACAACGUUCCUGGUUUUAAGGUCUGAUCACUUGGGGUUUCUGAUCUUUCAGAUCCGCCUGUUUAGGAUUGUGGAGGAUGAAAGCCUGGCAGUAGUGGAUGUCGGUCCAGCGAGAGGAGAUGGGCAGUCAUGCCAUGUCAGAAAAUUCAUAAACACUUGAAUGCCGAGCCGCACCAUUCCUGGUUUUAAGGAACUCGCAUAAGGAACACUUGAAUGCCAAGCUGCACCGUUCCUGGCUUUAAGGAACUUCCAUAAUGAGCACUUGGAAUGCCAAGACACAGCGUUCCUGGUUUUAAGGAACUUGCAGAAAGAACACUUGAAUGCCGAGCCACACCAUUCCUGGCUUUAAGGAACUUCCAUAAUGAACACUUGAAUGCCAAGACACAACAUUCCUGGUUUUAAGGAACUUCCAAAAUGAACUUGAAUGCCGAUCCACACCAUUCCUGGUUUAAAGGAACUUCCAUAAUGAACACUUGAAUGCCAAGUCACAGCAUUCCUGGUUUUAAGGUAUACUUCCCCUUCUGUUUUCUAAAGGUCAUCAGUGAUAUUUCUUAUCUCAGUAAUUCAAAGCUCCUGGGACAGCUGUAGAAAGAGCCUGUAGACAUCAUCUAGCAAAGCGCUUGCUGUUUGAAAUGACAAGUGUGGACAUUUAAAUUGUUAGACAUGACAAGGAAUCAUUAAUUGGCAACUCCAUUUUAUGGGGAAAAAUUGGAAUGUUAAAAUGACCAUUACUUGGAAUAAAUUGCCAUUGUAGAAAAAUUUUAAUGACAAUUCCUUUAAUUAUGCAACACUAGAAUUUUCUGUAAAAUGUCUUCCUGGAGGUGUACUGUACACAACUCCCUCAAAUGUAACUUCCUUGUUAUUGGCUCACCAUAACUGAUCCUCACAGGGGGGUCUGUACUUGGCUCUAUUGGCAGGGCUGAUCUCGGGCAGAUAUAGGGAGUGCGCUGUGAUGAAAUUAACCUAAAAAGAGCUGGAAUUACCGUCAGAUUGUUGGUGGUGAGAAGGGUUUUUCUGAGCACACAUC